GGGGCGCAGCAGGCGCGAAACCUCCGCAAUGUGAGAAAUCGCGACGGGGGGAUCCCAAGUGCCAUUCUUAACGGGAUGGCUUUUCUUAAGUGUAAAAAGCUUUUGGAAUAAGAGCUGGGCAAGACCGGUGCCAGCCGCCGCGGUAACACCGGCAGCUCUAGUGGUAGCUGUUUUUAUUGGGCCUAAAGCGUUCGUAGCCGGUUUGAUAAGUCACUGGUGAAAUCCUGUAGCUUAACUGUGGGAAUUGCUGGUGAUACUGUUGAACUUGAGGUCGGGAGAGGUUAGCGGUACUCCCAGGGUAGAGGUGAAAUUCUGUAAUCCUGGGAGGACCACCUGUGGCGAAGGCGGCUAACUGGAACGAACCUGACGGUGAGGGACGAAAGCUAGGGGCGCGAACCGGAUUAGAUACCCGGGUAGUCCUAGCCGUAAACGAUGCGGACUUGGUGUUGGGAUGGCUUUGAGCCGCUCCGGUGCCGAAGGGAAGCUGUUAAGUCCGCCGCCUGGGAAGUACGGACGCAAGACUGAAACUUAA
rnacentral:rRNA from 1 species